GGAAGACUGCCCGAAUGGUCAAAGGCCCUGCUUCGAAAGCAGUGUGGGUGCGCAAGCGCCGUAGGGGUUCGAGUCCUCUGUCUUCCGCCA
rnacentral:tRNA from 2 species